UACGUAGGGUGCGAGCGUUAAUCGGAAUUACUGGGCGUAAAGCGUGCGCAGGCGGUUCGUUAUGUCCGAUGUGAAAGCCCCGAGCUCAACUUGGGAAUGGCAUUGGAAACUGGCGGGCUGGAGUGUGGCAGAGGGGGGUGGAAUUCCACGGUGUAGCAGUGAAAUGCGUAGAGAUGUGGAGGAACACCGAUGGCGAAGGCAGCCCCCUGGGCCAACACUGACACCUGAUGAGCGAAAGCCAGGGGAGCAAACGGG
rnacentral:rRNA from 1 species